AACGAACGCUGGCGGCAGGCCUAACACAUGCAAGUCGAACGCUGUAGCAAUACAGAGUGGCAGACGGGUGAGUAACGCGUGGGAACCUUCCCAAUGGUGCGGAAUAGCCCAGGGAAACUUGGGGUAAUACCGCAUAAGCCCUUAGGGGGAAAGAUUUAUCGCCAUUGGAUGGGCCCGCGUCGGAUUAGCUAGUUGGUGAGGUAAUGGCUCACCAAGGCAACGAUCCGUAGCUGGUUUGAGAGAAUGACCAGCCACACUGGGACUGAGACACGGCCCAGACUCCUACGGGAGGCAGCAGUGGGGAAUCUUGGACAAUGGGCGCAAGCCUGAUCCAGCCAUGCCGCGUGAGUGACGAAGGCCUUAGGGUUGUAAAGCUCUUUUGCCGGGGACGAUAAUGACGGUACCCGGAGAAUAAGUCCCGGCUAACUUCGUGCCAGCCGCCGCCGUAACAC
rnacentral:rRNA from 1 species